rnacentral:rRNA from 1 species
GUGUCAGCAGCCGCGGUAAUACGUAGGUGGCAAGCGUUGUCCGGAAUUAUUGGGCGUAAAGGGCGCGUAGGCGGUCCUUUAAGUCAGAUGUGAAAUCCCGAGGCUCAACUUCGGGCGUGCAUUUGAAACUGGAGGACUAGAGUGCAGGAGAGGUAAGUGGAAUUCCUAGUGUAGCGGUGAAAUGCGUAGAUAUUAGGAGGAACACCAGUGGCGAAGGCGACUUACUGGACUGUAACUGACGCUGAGGCGCGAAAGCGUGGGGAGCAAACAGGAUUAGAUACCCUGGUAGUCCACGCUGUAAACGAUGGAUACUAGGUGUGGGAGGUAUCGACCCCUUCCGUGCCGCAGUAAACGCAAUAAGUAUCCCGCCUGGGGAGUACGGCCGCAAGGUUGAA